GCUCUCCACCUCCAGGCAGGCCCGAUCCCGCGCCGCAGGGGCGGACAAGGCCGGGAGGCUUACUACGGUCCGACCGUUGCUGUGAGCGUCGGAGCAGACUGAACACGGCCCCCGCCCCGCAUACGGCUCACCGUCUGCAUCCCCAUUUUACAGAAGAGGGAACUGAGGCCCGGAGAAACGAGCAGCUCUAAGAUUGGACGGCUGUCUUAAGGGAAGAGGCUGGAAGAGCCCCUGCCCACCGCGACUGUGAAAAGCGAAAGAGCCCCUGCCCAUUUGGAGCACAGACUGGAGGGCUUGUGAAGGCCACAGCUGGGUUGAGUAAUAAUAAUAAUAAUGAUAAUGGCAUUUGUUAAGUGCUUACUAUGUGCAAAGCACUGUUCUAAGUGCU